UAGGGAAUCUUCGGCAAUGGACGAAAGUCUGACCGAGCAACGCCGCGUGAGUGAAGAAGGUUUUCGGAUCGUAAAACUCUGUUGUUAGAGAAGAACAAGGGUGAGAGUAACUGUUCACCCCUUGACGGUAUCUAACCAGAAAGCCGCGGCUAACUACGAGCCAG
rnacentral:rRNA from 1 species